rnacentral:tRNA from 1 species
CCGCUCUUAGCUCAGUGGUAGAGCAUGUGACUGUAGAAUUACGGUUGUUAUCACAGGGUCGCCGGUUCGAUUCCAGCAGCGCGGA